rnacentral:tRNA from 1 species
CGGAACGUAGCGCAGCCAGGUAGCGCACUUGACUGGGGGUCAAGGGGUCGUGGGUUCGAAUCCCGCCGUUCCGACCA